UGUGCACCUUAUUAGAGACUGGGGUUGGGGCUACAGGAACUCUCGCGUGUAGGUAGUGUGUUACACACGGGACAAGUUUCUCACUAACACCACAAGGGUCUCUGGCACAAGGAGUGGAGGUUGAUAGUAAUCUUUGCUACAAGU
rnacentral:snoRNA from 1 species